UGUUUGCAGUGUAAAAUGGAGUUCAACGAGCGCUUGGAGAUAUUUCGACGUUUAAGCGCGCGAUGAACUCCAUUUUACACUGCAAAUG
rnacentral:pre_miRNA from 13 species